rnacentral:rRNA from 1 species
UACGUAGGGUGCGAGCGUUGUCCGGAAUUAUUGGGCGUAAAGAGCUCGUAGGCGGUUUGUUGCGUCGGCCGUGAAAACCUGCAGCUUAACUGUGGGCCUGCGGCCGAUACGGGCAGACUUGAGUUCGGUAGGGGAGACUGGAAUUCCUGGUGUAGCGGUGAAAUGCGCAGAUAUCAGGAGGAACACCGGUGGCGAAGGCGACUACCUGGCCUGUUCUUGACGCUGAGGCGCGAAAGCGUGGGGAGCGAACAGG